UACGAAGGGGGCUAGCGUUGCUCGGAAUCACUGGGCGUAAAGCGCACGUAGGCGGAUUCUUAAGUCAGGGGUGAAAUCCUGGAGCUCAACUCCAGAACUGCCUUUGAUACUGAGGGUCUUGAGUUCGGGAGAGGUGAGUGGAACUGCGAGUGUAGAGGUGAAAUUCGUAGAUAUUCGCAAGAACACCAGUGGCGAAGGCGGGUCUCUGGGCAUUACCUGGACGCUGAGGAGCGAAAGUGUGGGGAGCGAACAGG
rnacentral:rRNA from 1 species